UGAUAGUGUACCAAGGAUAGUCUACUGUGCUGUGAUCUUCAGGGACGUUUUCAACACAAGCCAUCCUAUUGUUCUGUGAUCUUCAAGGACACUUCCAACGUACAAAAAUCCAGUGGUUCUGUGAUCUUCAGGGAGCCAUGCAACACAAACCAUUCCAGCGUUGUGUGAUUUUAGAAGCUGGACGUGAGCCAGCAGUGUGUGCUGGCAGCCCGGAAGGCCAAGUGUGUUCUGGGCUGCGUUAAGAAAGAGGUGGCCAGCAGGGAGAGGGAGGUGGUUGUCCCCCUCUACUCAGCUCUUGUGAGGCCCCAUCUGGAGUACUGCACCCAGGCCUGGGGCCCUGUAUGAGACCUGUUGAACUGCAACUCCACCUGUGUGACCGGAAGGGGUGGAGCCAGGCUCCACCUCUCCUAAACUCCAUUUAAGGGCUGACUGCCACGGAGGAAGGAUCGCUCUCUGAAGAUCACUCCUCUUGGAGCCCUUUUGGCGAGCCCAGCAUUCACCUCUAUUACUUUGUGCAACAGUCAGCCCCCAGAAAGCACCAGACUCAACAUUGCUGAGGUAGCAAGGGCAGGGAAAGGGUCAGGGCAGCAAUGAGCUCAUGAUGGCCAAGGUUUGAUUGCCGACUGCUCUGUCACAGAGGUUCGUUGCUUCCCAGCUGUCCCUGCCCCGAGGAGGAGAGGCGGAGUCAGGGCGUGUGAACCGCGGGGCCGUUCGGGCGAGGUGAUACGGAAGACUGAGAAAGCAAAAAAAUCAUUCUGCCCUUGCUCCUGACCCUUGUCCCUGCCUCCACCUGCCCUCAGCGUACGGCCAGGAGAGGAGGGGCACUCAGCAGCAUGAUGGGAGCCCUUCAUAUUCUCCUCAGCUCCUGACCUUCCAGCUCUGCAGAGACAUUUCGUAUCUCAGUGAUAGUCUGUGGCCCCCACAGCCCCCCAGACCCGACCCCAAAGGCCUGCUGCCUCUCUCUCCCCCCCGACCCACACAGAUGGGCCUGGUGGGCACUGUCAGUGCUGGGAGCCCAGGAGCAGGCACAGGCAGCCUGGCCGGGCUGGGAUCUGCGCUGCUCUGACAGGAGCUCUGUGCUAAUGUCAUGCUGCACAGCAUUCCAGGGACCAGAAGCUGCAUCUCGCGCAGCGGUGAGUGAUGGCAGCGCUGUGUGUGCCCUCCAGGGGGGCCCGGGACAGGCUUGAAAAGCAGCACCGCG
ensembl:lncRNA